GUUUGGCACCUCGAUGUCGGCUCAUCACAUCCUGGAACUGAAAGCGGCUCCAAGGGUUUAGCUGUUCGCUAAUGAAAGUGGUACGUGAGCUGGGUUCAGAACGUUGUGAAACAGUUCGUCCCUAUCUACUAUUAGUUUAGAGAAGUAUUAUGACUUACAUCUAGUACGAAAGGAAUGGAAUAAGCGCGUCAAUUGUGUACCGAUUGUUAUUUCCUGUAGCAUAGUCGGGUAGCUACACGCGUCGAGAUAAUCACUGAAUUACACUAAGUGAGAAGCUCACAUAACUAAUUCUCUAUGAGAACGGUGAUAGACUAUCACUUUGAUAGGUCAAGUGUGUAAGUAGAGUAAUCUAUUUAGCUAAUUGAUACUAAUUGUUCGAGAAUAUUUUGUC
rnacentral:rRNA from 1 species